GACGAACGCUGGCGGCGUGCUUAACACAUGCAAGUCGAACGAAGAGCGAUGGAAGCUUGCUUCUAUCAAUCUUAGUGGCGAACGGGUGAGUAACGCGUAAUCAACCUGCCCUUCAGAGGGGGACAACAGUUGGAAACGACUGCCAAUACCGCAUACGAUCUAAACUCGGCAUCGAGGAUAGAUGAAAGGUGGCCUCUACAUGUAAGCUAUCACUGAAGGAGGGGAUUGCGUCUGAUUAGCUAGUUGGAGGGGUAACGGCCCACCAAGGCGAUGAUCAGUAGCCGGUCUUAGAGGAUGAACGGCCACAUUGGGACUGAGACACGGCCCAGACUCCUACGGGAGGCAGCAGUGGGGAAUCUUCCGCAAUGGACGAAAGUCUGACGGAGCAACGCCGCGUGAGUGAUGACGGCCUUCGGGUUGUAAAGCUCUGUUAAUCGGGACGAAAGGCCUUCUUGCGAAUAGUGAGAAGGAUUGACGGUACCGGAAUAGAAAGCCACGGCUAACUACGUG
rnacentral:rRNA from 1 species